rnacentral:misc_RNA from 1 species
CCGAGUCACGCGCUCAAACAACCCUUCUGUGGACCUGAAUUUAAACCGUUGCCUCGGCGGGCGGUCCCCUGUCAAAACCCACGUGGUGCGGGCAGGGGACCAGACAGCCCGGCACGCUUAAGGCGUCCGGCGCCAGCCGCUGGCCCUAAACAAUUAAACUCUAGUAACCUUACCUUCUGAGUUUUAAUGCAAAAAAAUAAGUCA